GGGAAUGUGGCUUAGUGGUAGAGUGCUUGCCUAGGAUACAUGAAGCUCUGGGUUCAAUUCCUCAGUUCCA
rnacentral:tRNA from 1 species